GUACUGCUGAAAAGUCCCGAACUAGGACGAAACAGCUGUCCAGUAC
rnacentral:hammerhead_ribozyme from 1 species